rnacentral:rRNA from 1 species
AUUGAACGCUGGCGGCAGGCUUAACACAUGCAAGUCGAGCGGGGUGAUGGUGCUUGCACUAUCACUUAGCGGCGGACGGGUGAGUAAUGCUUAGGAAUCUGCCUAUUAGUGGGGGACAACAUCUCGAAAGGGAUGCUAAUACCGCAUACGUCCUACGGGAGAAAGCAGGGGAUCACUUGUGACCUUGCGCUAAUAGAUGAGCCUAAGUCGGAUUAGCUAGUUGGUGGGGUAAAGGCCUACCAAGGCGACGAUCUGUAGCGGGUCUGAGAGGAUGAGCCGCCACACUGGGACUGAGAAACGGCCCAGACUCCUACGGGAGGCAGCAGUGGGGAAUAUUGGACAAUGGGGGGAACCCUGAUCUAGCCAUGCCGCGUGUGUGAAGAAGGCCUUAUGGUUGUAAAGCACUUUAAGCGAGGAGGAGGCUCUUUUGGUUAAUACCCAAGAUGAGUGGACGUUACUCGCAGAAUAAGCACCGGCUAACUCUGUGCCAGCCGCCGCCGUAA